ACCAAGGAGUCUAACAUGUGCGCGAGCCGCGGGGCAGUACGAAACCCGUAAGGCGAAAUGAAGGUGAACGCCGGCGCGGUCCGGCGGAGGUUGGAUCCCGUCCCGUCGGGGCGGGCGCACUACCGGCCGAUCUUCUCCGCCCUGUCGGCGAGGUCGAGCGAGAGCGUGCAAGUCGGGACCCGAAAAAUGGUGAACUAUGCCUGAGGAGGUUGAAGCCAGAGGAAACUCUGGUGGAGGACCGUAGCGAUUCUGACGUGCAAAUCGAUGG
rnacentral:ncRNA from 1 species